ensembl:lncRNA
CUCCGCGCACAGCCAUUUUGUGCUCUUUGUUGACAACCUAUACCUCGUUGGAAAGCCACUUCCCUACUCUAUUGAUUGACAGCUCGUUUGACCAUACAAAAGGAUCGAGGGCCUGUCCAUAGCCAAAACAAUCCAAUGAGCGACUAUAUCGAGCGAAGCACCUCCCCCCACUCGUACGCUUGUAUUUUCAGCCCAUUAUAUUUGACGCUGAAUCUGAUGCAAUGGACGUAUAGCCAAUAAGAUUUCCGUCACGGGGAUGUCCCACAUGAAGGGGUUGUGGAAGGAGGGUGGGCUACACACCUAAGCGUAAACAUGAACAAUGGAUGCCGGCUGUCCGUGCGUACGUGCGUAACAGUGAGAGUGAGCGUAUAGCUACAUAUUUUGGUGUUUCUAGCGACCAGAGAGAUGACGAAACACACAGAAAAGAAGAAUUACACCAUUGAAGAAGUUAUCGAUGAGUUUACAAUAAGGAAAAGCAACUUUUCUGACGAGGACGUGUCGGACGCAGAAAGUUAUGUGUUAUGUGUUGACUCGGUGGAAGAAGAUAUGUUCAUUGAAGGAGGAGAUAUAGUCCUUGACAAGCAAACUGAUUCAGAUACAGAGUGGGAGCCAAGCACCAGAGCCAGAGCAGCCACCUACUCCCAGUGUACAACAUCACAAGCCAGUCUACAUCUCUGGUGACAGUAAGACACCCAUCAAGCUUUCUAGCUGUGCUUUGUAGCAGCCCGUGACUGUAACAGUGGCAUGCUGAGAACAACAUGUGGCUGUGAAACCUGUGGAAUUGUAAACAUGUAAACAGUUUGCUGUAAGUAGUUUGGGUAUUUGUUUAGAUAAAGGUGUUGUUUUUGACCAUAUCUCUUGUUCUGAGUCUUUUCUUUUGAUGCACAAUUUCAGUUUCAGUAGAAUAAUGAGCAUUCAAUGUGUUUUUGCUUCACUAACAUUAUUUCAAUCAUACUAAUAGUGAAUCUGAAUAUGGAAUGAGGUUCCUCUAAGUGGCACCUUUCAUUAGAG